UUGGAUGUAGACUGUUAUCAAGUGCCAGCCUUUUCUUUUCCAGGGCAUAGCCCAAAAUUAUACAGAUUUCAAGAUUGUUGGAAUAAGAAAGACCCAUAGAUAGUAUCAAGACUUGCUUUUAACUUAGGGGCUGGACUCUGACAGUAGUAAUGCAAGGGUAGCAAUGAUCUAUUUUCAGUUUUAAAAAGGGGAAUAUUUACCAGUGAUAAAUUAUAUAGGCUAUAAAAAUGUAAUUUUUCAGCUCUUGGCAAUAAUUAUAUCAACUUAGUGUAUUAACACUGGUUGUCUCAGGGAAAAAUAAAAAAAAAAUAAUCACCUAAUAAAGGGGAUUUGGUGGUCCAAAAUUUUCUCAGCAUGAGCCCAAUGUGAGGGAGAAGUAGUAAAUGUGAUCUUUUGUGUUCAAAAGGUAAGAGACUUCUCAUCAGAGGUUUACUGCAUAUCCAAACAUCGGAAGUGGUUGAGGCAAGGUUAAAACUCAGGAAUUUUGAGUUUUACCCAAGUGAUUCUCACUGCAAAAUAGAACACUGAUUUGCUUUUUCAUUCAACAAACAUUUACUGAGUGCCUAUAAUGAGUUGGAUAGGCAGAAAUGGAAAGACACAAGGGACAUGAAGCCAAGCAGGAAGACAGAUAUGCCUCUCUGCAGAGUGAUUCAUAGGCAACAGCACAGGUGUGCUCUGCUGGAGUAGAGAGAUGGGCUGGGAAACCCUGUAAAUCCUACAUUUUCUGUUUUUAUUGACUAUUUCGUAUCUGUUGUACUUACAAAAUUUAAUAUAUGCUGUUUCGGGUCCAAAGUUCAAACUGGUUUUAACUUCUUUUUCCCAAAGUCACUUUUCAAAAGAAAACAAAUAUGGCAAAAUAUUUCUCUUUCCUCUGGGUACUCAAACCAAGGUUUUUUUUGUUUGUUUUUGUGUUUUUUAAAAUAAUAAACUGUUUAUUUAGAAGAAAUAACACUUAAGCAAGACUUCAUUCAGAUUUUGGUUUUGGUAUCCCUAUAGGUAGAAAUGAUGUGACUGAGUUAAGAAAUAUGAAUUAAGUAGUUUAUUAAUAUUAAACAAUAGGGACAUCUGGGUGGCUCAUUUGUUUAAGCC
rnacentral:lncRNA from 1 species